rnacentral:rRNA from 1 species
ACGGGAGGCAGCAGUGGGGAAUAUUGGGCAAUGGGGGAAACCCUGAUCCAGCGACGCCGCGUGAGUGAAGAAGUAUUUCGGUAUGUAAAGCUCUAUCAGCAGGGAAGAUAAUGACGGUACCUGACUAAGAAGCCCCGGCUAACUACGUGCCAGCAGCCGCGGUAGUACGUAGGGGGCAAGCGUUAUCCGGAUUUACUGGGUGUAAAGGGAGCGUAGACGGUAUGGCAAGUCUGAUGUGAAAACCCAGGGCUCAACCCUGGGACUGCAUUGGAAACUGUCAAACUAGAGUGCAGGAGAGGUAAGUGGAAUUCCUAGUGUAGCGGUGAAAUGCGUAGAUAUUAGGAGGAACACCGGUGGCGAAGGCGGCUUACUGGACUGUAACUGACGUUGAGGCUCGAAAGCGUGGGGAGCAAACAGGAUUAGAUACCCUGGUA